rnacentral:pre_miRNA from 1 species
GAGCAGGCUCCGGGGGACAGGGAAAAGCACACAAGGAACUUGUCCUCUAGGGCCUGCAGUCU